rnacentral:lncRNA from 1 species
ACCGUUUGGUUAGGAGAUAGGGAUAGAAAUAGGCUCUUAUCCCCCCCUUUAUAUCCAAACACUAAUUUUUUAUCCGAGAAUAGUAGUUCUCGGUUAUCCCCACCAACACUUUAUUUUCUAUAUAAAACUAUCUAAAAUUGUUCUUAUCUCCGGAAAGAACCCAAUUUUCAUCCAAACCUUAUUUUUCUUAUCCCCAUACUUGUACCUAUCCCUGUAAUAGCUAGUUCUUACUUAUACCCGAACCAAACGGUACCUAAUUGUUUAAGGCAAAAAGGCAAGGGGAUUUAUUGAGAAAAAUAAAACAAAAAAA